GAAAGUUGAAAAGAACUUUGAAGAGAGAGUUCAAGAGUACGUGAAACCGUUUAGAGGUAAACGGAUGGGACCGCAAGGUUCCCUGUGGGAUUCAACCUUCCGCUCGUCCGUCGGGGCGGUUGUCAGAUCUUCACGGACUGGCGCCGUUCCGAGCGGCCGUCGGUUGGCGCACUUUCCACAGGACUGUGGCCAGGACAGGUUCGGGGGCGGCCAGAAGCCCGUGGAUCCAGGUAGCUGUCUUCGGGCAGUGCUUAGGUUUCGCGGGUGGGCAGCGCCCCCGUACCGAGGAACAGACCGCCGCUUGGGGAACACCUCUGUCACGUUUUCGGUCAGACUGUCGUGGACUGUUCACAGUGCUCGGCGACCGCCGGGAGCGUUGCGCAGGGGCCCACUCCCCAGAGCCCAGGGUCUCUGGUCGUUUUCGUCGGCACCCCAUCCGACCCGUCUUGAAACACGGACCAAGGAGUCUAACAUGUGUGCGAGUCACUGGGUGGCAAACCCACGGGCGCAAUGAAAGUGAAGGUUGGCUUAGGUCGGCCCAGGUGGGAUCCCGGCAACGGGCGCACCACCGGCCCGUCUCGAUCUCUACGCCAGAUGAGGCGGAGCAAGAGCAUACACGUUGGGACCCG
rnacentral:rRNA from 1 species